UACGUAGGGGUCGAGCGUUGUCCGGAAUCAUUGGGCGUAAAGCGCGUGUAGGCGACUUGGUAAGUCCGGUGUGAAAACUUGGGGCUCAACCCCAAGCCUGCACUGGAUACUGCCUCGCUUGUGUCCGGGAGGGGAGAGCGGAAUUCCUAGUGUAGCGGUUAAAUGCGCAGAUAUUAGGAAGAACACUGGUGGCAAAGGCGGUUCUCUGGAACGGUACUGACGCUGAGACGCGAAAGCGUGGGGAGCGAACAGG
rnacentral:rRNA from 1 species